CUUUUGUUUCUCCUAUUUUGUUCUCCAUUCUCUUUCACCACUCAGAGCCAAUCGUCAAUGGCAAUAAGAAAAACUCAAAGAGAAUAGAGGAAGGCUAUGUCAACUACAUUCCUAAAGAGAUAUUCUUCUUCUUGCGGUUUCAAUUAUAAUUCAACUGGAGGAUCUUUAGGAGUUGCCAUGGUUAAGACAAUGGUUGUCAAAAUAUAGUGACAGGUUUCUACUCAAUCAAGGUCUAUCGAAGGUACAGAUGCAGAGUUAAACUAGCCCUUUUGUGAGUUUGUGGCCUGUUCUCUACAUCUUGCAAAAUGGACAGUGUGAGAUAUCUCAACCAUGUUGUAGAUAGGAGAAUCAAAGCCAUUGAUUUAAUAUGCUUCGACAGAGGUACUACAUAUAAUUGUUGGUAUAGUUAUAUAACCCCCACAAUAGUUGCCAACUAUUUACGCCUCUUGCUGGUUGACAUUCUUCAGUUUUCUUCUUUCCCUUUUGUGUUAUCUCCAUUGCAACAUAUGUACAACAAGAGUUUUUUACAGGUUUUGAAAUUUGCAUUGAUUACUUCGCAUAAAUUUUCACCUCAUUUCAAACUUAAAAUUAAUUAAUACCAGAAUUUUCUAUCGGUACUAAAAGCGAGUUUGAAAAGAAAAUGUAAUUGUUUUGAUUUAAUUUUUUUCUGCAGAACAUUUUGUUAUCCACUUUUAGGGAAUAAUGAUCACUCCAGUUGACUUAUGAAUGUGGAUCAAGUUUCAAUACCUACACCCAUGCAAAUUCAUGUUAAAAUAAUAGUUACAUUAUGUGUCUGAAUUAUUUUCCUGGUCUUUCAUCUAAUUUGGUAAAGUUUGUCUUUUUUUGAUACGAUACUUGAAGAAGUUAGCUACUCAAACAUGAGUUACUGUGACUUGUUCGAUAUGAGCUAAACUUCAAGGUUUAAAAUCUUAGCUUUUGUUGUGAUGCAAGAGCUGAGGCCAAAUUUUGAGGAUUGUGGAUACGUUUCUAAGACAAUGGUUUGAGAGAUGGUUCAGUGUCCCUUAGGGAGCAUGGCAUAUAAUGCCACUUUGCGGCAUAUGUUGCAUGUCAUAAGAGAAGAACUUCAAGAGGUUUCCAUUUACAUGCGUUUGAGAUUUCAAAUGGAGAUUGGUUUGAAAUGGCUCAAAACAGACUUAGUAUAAGUUUAGAAGAUAUUUUGUUUUCCACAAUUGUUCGUCUUCAAGCUUCUCCCAAUACUCAUUUUCAUCUUCAAUCUUCUCCAAGUACGCUGCAACUUUGAGUAUAGAAAAGUCAACUGAUGAUAAGCUUGAUUUGUGUUACAAACUUCAUCUUCUCGAGGAUACAAACACAACUAUCUACACAGUUUAGUUUUUGAAGCUGCUUUAGAGACGACAAUAAAUCAAUAACUACUCCAAAUUUAAGAAAUUGUACUAAUUAAGGACAGUUGUAGUACAAAUAAAUAUGAAUAUUACUAACUUAUUGUUCAUGAAGCUAAGUAAUAGCUUAAUAGUGGCAUGGGAAUAAAAAAAUUUGUUUUCUA